GACCUGGUGGUGAAUGGCUCAUACCCACUUCACUUGAUUGACGCCUGCAGUGAUUCAGUGGGUGUCCUCGGUUCGAAUCUGGGCCAGGUCA